rnacentral:tRNA from 1 species
GCGCUCGCGCGCCGUACCGCGGCCCUUUGGGCCGCUGGCGCUCCGCGAGGGCGCGGCAUAAGCCGCGACGGCCGGUCGGCCUUGCGAGGCUUUGCCUCGAGGUCACCAGCUCGUUACUGGCAGAGCGCGGUCUUUAGGGCUUGUAGCUCAGUUGGUUAGAGCGCGCGCUUGAUAAGCGUGAGGUCGGAGGUUCAAGUCCUCCCAGGCCCACCAUCUCUGAGAUGGAAGCUCGCUUCCUAUCUCCAGUGCAACCCGAAGGGUUGUCACUGCCGGUCGAUGCCGGAACAAGAUAUCAGGGGCCGUAGCUCAGCUGGGAGAGCGCCUGCUUUGCAAGCAGGAUGUCGUCGGUUCGAUCCCGUCCGGCUCCACCACUUUCUUGUCUUUGGGACGAAGAGGUGUCGAGUGGAGAUGGUGAGAAAAAGUCAUUCGUAAAAAGAGUUUGCGGCGAGCCCUUGGCUCUCCGCCUGUUCUGUUUGACAUCGUAAAGAGAAGAUUUGUUCGAACUUCAUGAGCCGCAAGGGUCAUGAUUUGUCGCAAGGGACGCUCAAUCCCUUGCAUAUGAUGGGUUUGCCUAACCGCACCCUCGAACCGAUCUCGAGAAGCUGGUCUUUUUGUGCCAAU